UACAGAGGGUGCGAGCGUUAAUCGGAAUUACUGGGCGUAAAGCGCACGUAGUCGGCUUUGCAAGUCGGGUGUGAAAUCCCCCGGGCUCAACCUGGGAACUGCAUCCGAGACUGCAUUGCUAGAGUAUGGGAGAGGGAAGCGGAAUUUCUGGUGUAGCAGUGAAGUGCGUAGAUAUCAGAAGGAACAUCAGUGGCGAAGGCGGCUUCCUGGACCAAUACUGACG
rnacentral:rRNA from 1 species